UGGGGAAUCUUCCGCAAUGGACGAAAGUCUGACGGAGCAACGCCGCGUGAGUGAAGGAGGUUUUCGGAUCGUAAAACUCUGUCUUUUGGGGCGAACGUGAGUAUGGUGAACAAUCAUAGUCAGUGACGGUACCAAAGGAGGAAGCCACGGCUAACUACGUGCCAGCAGCCGCGGUAAUACGUAGGUGGCAAGCGUUGUCCGGAAUUAUUGGGCGUAAAGAGCGCGUAGGCGGGAUAGUCAGUCUGUUGUAAAAGUGCGGGGCUCAACCCCGUGAUGGCAAUGGAAACAGCUAUUCUUGAGUGCAGGAGAGGAAAGUGGAAUUCCCAGUGUAGCGGUGAAAUGCGUAGAUAUUGGGAGGAACACCAGUGGCGAAGGCGACUUUCUGGACUGUGUCUGACGCUGAGGCGCGAAAGCCAGGGGAGCGAACGGGAUUAGAUACCCCGGUAGUCCUGGCCGUAAACGAUGGGUACUAGGUGUGGGAGGUAUCGACCCCUUCCGUGCCGGAGUUAACGCAAUAAGUACCCCGCCUGGGGAGUACGGUCGCAAGACUGAAACUUAAAUGAAUUGAC
rnacentral:rRNA from 1 species